UGCCUGAGACAAGAGUUAAAAAGCUUCUGAUUGUGAAGGCAGUGAAAUCCACUCUCAGUGAUCAGAAUGCUACGGUGAGGAAGGCAGCUCUUCAUUUCAUCAGGACGCUGCUCAGUUCAGGAAGUGUGGAGAAUUGUGCAGCAUGGGAUCUGGUAGCAUAUGUUUUCAGCGAGUUCAGUGUGUCCACCAGCAAACUGCAGGGUACAACACUUCUCACCCAGGAUGUUGAGGAAGAAAGCACGAUCCAAACCCUGUGCAUUGACAUCCUGCAAUGUCUGGACACCUCAGUCAAUGGAAUGAC